GUUGAAGGAGACCAGGACGUCGAGCAGCCCGCCUGAGGGGUCCUUGGCGGGCUCGGUGUAGAACCAGAGGGGGAUGUUCCCGUAGGUGACCGCCACGUGGUGGGCGACGACCAGCACGGUCAGCACGAUCCUCAGGUUGUCGACCGCGUGGAGGCGGGUCGUGGCCCUGGGCUCGGUCUUCAUGAUCUGCAUGCCCUUUCGAAGAUGUCGGCCAGUUCCCGGGCGUGCGCGUCGAGGUCGUGAUCGGGGUAGGCGACCCAGUAGGCGAACAU
rnacentral:misc_RNA from 1 species